CCUAUCUUUUCGUCCCGGGACUAACUAGCCGAAAGGUUAGCUAAUACCUGAUACGAUCAUCGAGUGGCAUCAUUUGAUGAUGAAAGCAGCAAUGCGCGGAUUGAGGGGGCUGCGGCCCAUUAGCUAGUUGGUGAGGUAACGGCCCACCAAGGCAACGAUGGGUAGCUGGUCUGAGAGGACGAUCAGCCACACUGGGAUUGAGAACGGCCCAG
rnacentral:rRNA from 1 species